rnacentral:piRNA from 2 species
UAGCCUCAUAAUUCUUCACCUCAACUUGAAA